rnacentral:rRNA from 1 species
CAGCAGCCGCGGGAAUACGUAGGUGGCAAGCGUUGUCCGGAAUUAUUGGGCGUAAAGGGCUCGCAGGCGGUUUCUUAAGUCUGAUGUGAAAGCCCCCGGCUCAACCGGGGAGGGUCAUUGGAAACUGGGAAACUUGAGUGCAGAAGAGGAGAGUGGAAUUCCACGUGUAGCGGUGAAAUGCGUAGAGAUGUGGAGGAACACCAGUGGCGAAGGCGACUCUCUGGUCUGCAACUGACGCUGAGGAGCGAAAGCGUGGGGAGCGAACAGGAUUAGAUACCCCGGUAGUCCCUGUCUCUUAUAC